rnacentral:tRNA from 1 species
GGUGAUAUAGCUUAGUGAUAGAGUACAUGCUUAGCAUGCAUGAGCCACUGGGUUCAAGCCCAGCAUCAAAA